rnacentral:tRNA from 1 species
GGGGUUGUGGCUCAGUGGUGGAGCGAUCACCUAGCAUGUGUGAGGCCCUGGGUUCAAUCCUCAGCACCACA